AACCAUUUAGCUCAAUUGGUAGAGCUCUGGCUGGAAUGCCGGGGUUGCGGAGUUCGAGUCCCGCAAUGGUUC
rnacentral:tRNA from 1 species